UCUGUGGAACAUGGACUUCCCGCAGGGACUGGAGUCGAGGUGCUGCAUGGCUGCUCCUCAGCGUCGGUGUCGUGAGAUGUUGGGUUAAGUCCCGCAACGAGCGCAACCCUUGUCCUGUGUUGCCACCCCGCAAGGGAGCACUCUCAGGAGACCGCCAGCGAUAAGCUGGAGGAAGGUGGGGAUGACGUCAAGUCCUCAUGGCCUUUAUGUCCAGGGCUACACACGUGCUACAAUGGGCGGUACAAAGCGCUGCAAACCCGCGAGGGGGAGCCAAUCGCAAAAAACCGUUCUUAGUUCGGAUUGCAGGCUGCAACUCGCCUGCAUGAAGCUGGAAUCGCUAGUAAUGGCGUAUCAGAAUGAUGCCGUGAAUACGUUCCCGGGCCUUGUACACACCGCCCGUCACAUCACGAAAGUGGAUUGCACUAGAAGUCCGCAGGCUAACCGCA
rnacentral:rRNA from 1 species